rnacentral:rRNA from 1 species
UGAACGCUAGCGGCAGGCUUAAUACAUGCAAGUCGAGGGGUAGCAUGAUUGUAGCAAUACAAUUGAUGACGACCGGCAAACGGGUGCGGAACACGUACACAACCUUCCUACAAGUGGGGAAUAGCCCAGAGAAAUUUGGAUUAAUACCCCGUAACAUAGCGAUGUGGCAUCACAUUGCUAUUAUAGCUUCGGCGCUUGUUGAUGGGUGUGCGGCUGAUUAGAUAGUUGGCGGGGUAACGGCCCACCAAGUCUACGAUCAGUAGCUGAUGUGAGAGCAUGAUCAGCCACACGGGCACUGAGACACGGGCCCGACUCCUACGGGAGGCAGCAGUAAGGAAUAUUGGACAAUGGACGCAAGUCUGAUCCAGCCAUGCCGCGUGAAGGAUUAAGGUCCUCUGGAUUGUAAACUUCUUUUAUAAGGGACGAAAAAAGGUCUUUCUAGAUCGUCUGACGGUACCUUAUGAAUAAGCACCGGCUAACUCCGUG